AGCUUUGGGCAGUGGCAGUAUCAUAGCCAAUGAGGUUUAUCCAAGGCGCGAUUAUUGCUAAAAGAAAUCACUAAAAAUCUAAGAGCAAAAACUAACAAUUUCUGUAUAUCCUUAAGAAAAAAAACAAUGUGGAGGA